UUAUUUUAUACAAUGUCCUGAGUUGUGCAGCAUCAUUUACAUUUAUAUCUAACUUGGGUUUUUUUUAUGCAUACUUUGCUUCCUUUUUUUUUGGGCCACAUAUUUUUUCACAAGUACAUUUUUUUUUAUACCUUUUUGGCUUGUAUUUACAGAGCUUUGCAAAUCACAACAUGUUUCAUGCAAUCUGUCUCUGUUUCUGCUGAAGAACUGUUACUGGUUUGAUAAGAAGCCAGCACUUUUAAGUAACUGAUCCUUGAGAGUGAUUUGAAUCCCCUGUGUGCUCAGCGGCUCAGCUCACUGAUAAAGGGAAGCUGACUGAGGUAUGAUUCACAAUUAUCACUUUUCUGCAGUGGAGGAUGCUGGUGGGAACCCAGUGGUGGAACAGAGAAGAGAGCAUCACACAGAGGUCUGGCAGGAGUGCAGUGCUGGAGAGCAGCCCCAGCCUCCCAGCUGCUGAAUCUCUGCUGGCUGCUGUUUAUUACCCUGUGCCAGAGCUGCCAGAUAACCUGCAGCACCUCUCCAGGGGACAACCUGGCUCAUAAUGAGCUUACCUGGUAACUGGAAACUAUGAGGUACCAAAAAUGUCUGAGAAAGGAGCAAGGGAGGAGAGAUCUGAGGAUUCAACCAGAGACACUGACCCUGCAUGUCCUGAGGGGCUGAUCACUUAAAAUCCCUUCCUGUGCCCCCCUCCCAGUUCUGCCUGUGGUCUGCAGGAUGACUCAGUGCCAGCAUCUAAUCUCCAGUGAACACCUUGCGAGUGCUGCAGCCUGGAAAAAGGCUGACAGCUCAUUAAUAAUAACCAUCAGCACUGAGAUUUCUUAACUCACCUUAACUGAGAACAAGAAACUCCACAGUUGUUAGAAGUGCCCUGAUGCCCUGAAGAUUAAGAAAGAAACCCUUUCCAUGCCUGAGCCAUCAAAGCUUUCUGCUGUGCUUUAGCAGACUGUCCUCUGCCUUGUGGCCUAGCCUGGCACUGCUGGCAGCAGGGAUAACCUGCUUUGCAUUCACUAGGGAUUAAUUCUGGGUGGAAGAAAAAAAUCUCUGACUUGAGAUGUUCCACACGUCAUGCAGUGAACUUCCCUGCGUGUGGGAAAGCUGCAAGGAUGAUUUCACUGAAAGCACAAAACCAAUUUAAAAUAAAAUCACAGAAUGACAGAAUAUGCUGAGCUGGAAGGGACCCACAAGGAUCAGCGAGUCCAACCCUUAGCCCUGCACAGGACCAUCCCCAAGAGUCACACCCUGCGCCUGAGAAUAUUGUCCAAAUGCUUCUUGAACAGAAGCAGAUGACAGCAUUUCCAGAAAAUUUUUUUUUCCUUGGGAUUUAUGCUUCUGUGGCAUCAAACCAGCUGAGUUUUGAAACUCAGUCAGAAGACAAUAAUUAGCUGAGGCAUUGUUUGAUUGAAUCUUGGAGGAAAAGAAAAGGUGCCUAUCUGAAAUCUGGGUGUUUUAGUAAUAAUUGAGAAUCUGUAAUGAGCUUUUAUCACAGCAGCUCUGAGUUGAUUAUUUAAUAAGAAAUUGGCAGUGGAGGAAAAGUAUAUUAACAUGAAUGUAGCAAGAAGAAAGGAAAUGGGGUGCAUUAUGAGGGUAACCUAACACAAAUUAGUUUCCACCUUUAUUUUGCCCAGUUCAAACUGAGUCCUGACUGCCCUAACAUACCAGUUUGAUUGAGCAGCUAAAUCUCUAGCUUGGUGCAGGAAUUCUUUGUUGCUACAGCCCAGGUCUGUAGCUUCUUUUUGGUACUGCUUCUGGAGAGGAAAGCUUUAUUCUCUGGAAGCCACAGUUCCCUUCCUACCUCAAUAUUUUAUCCAGAAUUUCCCUUGACUGAACCAGCCUGAGACAGAUAAGAGUCUUUUAAUGUAAUGCAGUAAAGAAUGAGUUUCUAAGGCAGAGUGAAUGGAGGGUAUAUGUAAGAAUGUGAUGUGGAAAAGGAAGCACUAAAACUCUUUGAAUGAAUCGUACCAGUCUGGUCUCUGUGCUAAACCCGGCUCCGUUUAAAACUUAAUGGGGUUUAUCUUUUCUACUUUGCUGCUGUUGUACAUGAAACAAUGAAGUCCAUUGCUCCAGGUCCUACAGCUUCAGACUGGUGUUUCUUUUCCUUGAGGACUGGUACUGUGGUUUGAUGCAAAUUCCUUCAUGUCCUGCCUGACUCUAUAACCUUGCAGCACACGUUUUCCUUUGUUUAUUGCCUACUGGCACCUGGAAAGCAAUUAUCUGUUUCUGUCCCCCGAGUGCCUACAGGCCCCAUGCUUUCCUGCCUCCCACGGUUGACUGCUUUUAAAAAGAGAGUGCUGUACCCAUCAACAGGUGUUAGCAGCAUCUGCUAUCAACAUGGCAUCACCCUCUCAGCCGAGCAGCACGCUGCCAAAGAGCUGGCACUCAUUUCAUUAUGCAUACUCCCCAUCUGCAUGCAGAUUCACUUACCAGCUCUUGCCCUAGUGGAACUGGCACGUGUCUUGGUGUGGGCCCAAAGCCACCCAAGCAUAUGGGCUUGGUCUGCUCCAAGUGUGUGCAGCAGAGAUGGUGCAUUUGUAAAACAGGAGCAGGAUUCCCAUGUAGGAAAGGUAGUGCAGUGUUCAGGCCUGGGACUCGCCCUUUUGAAUCCCUGUGGGUCGAGUAUGCUCUCAUCUGUGUUUCUCUGACUCUUUUUGCUUUUAUUCAGUGCUGUGACAAAGAUCUAUAUCAGCUCUUUUUCCUAUCUCUGCAGAAGACCUAAUCUUCAAAAUGGUUUUCCUAUUUGGUUUGUUUGAUUUUUUUGUUUUUAAAUGAAAGCAUUAAAAAUCUGAUUGCUAAUGUAUAUACACAGGAGCCUGCUUCCUGUGGGUAAUAGACUAUACUGAGGAUGUGUGAUGGCUUUUGUUACAUUUCUGUGAAGUUUUUUCCUAGGAAGAAAUCCUUUACAUUGGGAAGAAAUUCUUUUAAGGAGAGCAAUCAGACAUUGGAAUGGGCUGCCCAGGGAGGUGGUGGAUUCACUGUCCCUGGAGGUAUUUAAGAAGAGACUGGAUGUGGCACUUAGUCUGGUUGACAAGGUGCUGUUUGGUCAUAGGUUGGACUCGAUGAUCUCAGAGGUCUUUUCCAACCUGGUUGAUUCUGUGCUUCUGUGUUGCUGUGCUGUGCCUCCCUAUUGUUGUAAUUGCAAAAGACUAUGGAGUGAUUUGCUUUAGGUCCUCUUUUUCACAAAUCUGAGUAACUUUUGCCUAUCAUUCUCCCCUUGUCUGCUGGUUUCUCAAAAAAUUGUGGCCCUAAGCAGAAGCACUUGAACUUAAAACUGGCCAGGGUUGCAGUGUAAGCUAAAUCUUCCCAGCCAUUUCUGACUUACUUGGAGAGAAGCCUGAAGUGAAUAUGCCUCAGACAUCAUGGUCUGGCCUGUAGGACCAGUGUUUGAAUGGCAGUGAAGUUUUCUAUGAAACUUGUGAUAUGGACACUGGAAAACAUCCCCUGAAUGAUUUAUCUUCUUCUUACUCACAUUUGGAUGUUCAGCAAGAAUCCAUUCCAUCUGAACAGCUAAGGAGAGUACACAGAAAAUCUGUGGCACAGGGAUUCCUUCCUUUAAAGGCAAUUACCAGCAGUGCUACCCUUCAUUAGCCCUGCUAGGAGGGAAGUUGUCCCAACAGACGCCACAGUAAUCCCUCCUACAUUUCUGUAGGUAAGUGCAUAGCUUACCUCAAUGCUUGUCCCUUCUCCAAAAACUUUUUAUUUUGUCUGGUGUCAAAAAUCUUGUUUGCUGAUUGCCAAUUUCUUUUAUUAAAUUUAGUGUAGAGCCAACCACAAAAAAAAUUAGGCAGGCUGUGCUAGUAGUGUUAUGUCUGACUGACGUUCCUUUGGAAUUAAUAUUCCAGGAAUUCCGUUCUGGUGGUCGUACUGCUUAGCUACUGAGCAGAAACUUUCAGUGUGGUAAUACUGAUCCAGCUGAGAUCAGCAGAGCUUGCAAGGUACGAGUUGUUGGGCAGCGUUUGCAAGGGCUGGCCUGAGCGCUUUUAUUAUCCAGGCAAUUAAAAAAAAAAAUCAGAUUUCUGCAUCGACCUUUAAAAUUGUACUUGUAUUAAACAUCCAUCUGGGUUCUGGUAGCGUGAUAAUUCUGGAGGACUCUAAUGGACUUUUAAAAUAUAUAUGAUGCAUAACAAA